UCCGCCGGCGACCGGCGCACGGGUGAGUAACACGUAUGCAACCUGCCCCUGUCAGGGGGACAACCCGCCGAAAGGCGGGCUAAACCCGCGUACAUGCCACCGGGGCAUCCCGGAGGCAGGAAAGGCUUCGGCCGGACAGGGAUGGGCAUGCGGCGCAUUAGGCAGUAGGCGGGGUAACGGCCCACCUAACCGACGAUGCGUAGGGGUUCUGAGAGGAAGGUCCCCCACACUGGUACUGAGACACGGACCAGACUCCUACGGAAGGCAGCAG
rnacentral:rRNA from 1 species